GAGCAGGAAGCCCUCCAGAGGUCCGCCGGUGCUGGAGGCGGCGACCAAGGAGUUGCAGCGGUGAGGCACCUCUACGCCUCUCCCUGCCAUGGUGGUCGCCGUCACUCGCGAGCUGUUCGACAUGGAGUCUGCGCCGGCGAGAAGAUGCGCGUCGGCGUCUCCAAGCUGAAGUACUAGAUUUGUUGAGGGUGAGCUACACAUGCUGAUAAUGGUGGCGCUGCGGUGAGGAUCUGAGGUAAACAUAAAAAGUUAGGCUUCUCCGGAAUCCUAGCAAACUGUUAAAAAUUAUAAAAUUAUAAUGCUUAUGAACACAAGAAUAUAUCUGGGGAUCGAUGGGAGAUUUAACAUGGCUGGCCUCGACGGUUCAGUGCUGAAGAGAGGAGCAGGUCAGGGAGGAUGCAAAUCAAUGUGGUGAGGACCGGCUGUUGCAGGGAUGCUCACGGAAGUGCAGUCAUAGGGCUCGGCGGACUAGCAUCACUGGUUGGUGGAGGAGAAGAAGGCAAAUGGCGUUCUUGGAGUUCAUUAAGUUUGUGGGGGCGGCACACAUCAGCGAUCGAGGGCUGCUAGAGAUAUCAUCCAUGGCAUUGCUUCCAAUCUGACCUCUGUCUUGCUGUGGGGAUUGGUCUGGAUCAUUUACAAGGACAUUGUUCGUCCGGUGCUGAUUCUAUCAACUGGUUUUUGGUGUCUUGUAUAUUUAGGUCAUUAUUUAUUUGAGGUCAUCCUCCACUAUGCCCUUCUCCUCGUGCACAUGGCCUCAUAGGUCAUGAAUUAAAAUUAUUGUUUGUGGUGCAUGCCAAUAGUAUGAUCCAGAAAUUAAUUGAAUAUUAAGCUCUUGGUUCUGGCUUGUCAAUCCAUCAGUGUAUGCAACAUAAGGUAUUUCCAUUUGAUUCUGCAAUGCUUGGUCAUCAUCGGGUUAUGGAAGUUUUUGUAUGAGUUACCUAGAUGAAUGGGUGGUGUCGAUAAAAUAUCAUUGGUCUCUUGUCCGAUGCGGGAGCUCUAAUCAAGCUAUCUAUACUUAUGUUGUUCUAUCAAGAAUUAACUGAACAAAUAAAUGCAGGCCAUGGUCUACCUUUCAGUAUGACUAAUUCUGAAAAGGAUAUCUUUGGAACGUUGUCUCUUUAGUUUUCUCUGAUAGG